UACAGAGGUCCCAAGCGUUGUUCGGAUUCACUGGGCGUAAAGGGUGCGCAGGUGGCAUGGCAAGUUUGAUGUGAAAGCUCAGGGCUCAACCCUGAAAUGGCAUUGAAUACUGCUGUGCUGGAGGUUUGGAGGGGGGACUGGAAUUCUUGGUGUAGCAGUGAAAUGCGUAGAUAUGCGGAGGAACAUCGAUGGCGAAGGCAAUCCCCUGGGCCUGCACUGACGCUCAUGCACGAAAGCGUGGGGAGCAAACAGG
rnacentral:rRNA from 1 species